UAAAGCCGAACAGCAAACACCGAGGCUGGCGAAUAGCGGGGCUAAUUUGGUCCGGAUUCUGAUGAGAGCGAGGUUGCGUAAAGCGCAAGGGGCACAUUUAAUGCCCGCCAAGACCGUACGUUAGGGUAUACAUAUCUCACGAAAUACGCGAGCGGCGGAUGUAGACGAGGGGCAUUUUGGUCAGACGACUGAAAAUCCGGCCCGAAUCUGCAAAAUCGAAAAAGGUGGCCCACUUUUGCAAAAGCGCAAAACUCGUGGAUUUUUUAUGCAAAUUGGCCUUUAUAUUGAUCAACCAUUAAUAUUUCUAUUAAUCUAAUUAAUUAUUUUACAACUUAUCUAGCUAAAAUAAUUUACUAAUUAAUUAAAAAGUUAAAUUAUUUUUAUAAUUAAUUAAUUAAUUAAUAUAUUUUUAUUAUCUUGUACAAUAUUCAUAGCUAAUAAAUUUAUUAAUUUAUUAAAUUAUUUUUAGUAAUAUUUUGAUGUUAAUUAAUUAGAUAAAAUAAUUUUAAUUUAAAAUUAUAACUCUUAUUCCCAUUGUUCCAAUCUAAUCAUCCAAAUGCUAUUUACCUUACUCCUAAGAACAACCCAAUUUUCAUUCAAAUAUAAAAUUAGUCUAGUUCAUCAUACUUAUACCUGAACUUGUAUCUAUCCCCGCAAUAAGCAAUUCUUGCUUAUAACCAAAUCAAACGCAGCCUUAGUGCUUGUAAAUUUUUCACCGUUAAAUCUACAUUUUUGAUCAUUUUCGCUCGUUAGAUCAUACUAUUCAACCGACCAUCCACUCAACCCUAGAGGGGACCACUAUCAUCCUAACUGGGGACCACUACCAUCCUAACUGCACAUCCUUUCAUCCAACGACAAAAAACUUAUGAGUACAAAAUGGUCUAUGCUUAUAAGAGUAUAGUAGCCCUACUUUAUAUAUAGAGAGUUUGAUAAAGAGCAUGUUUGUUUCACCGAAAUUGGAAUUUAGGUUGAAGUAGACUUUGGGCUGAAGUGGAGUAUGGUGAAAACUACUACUUCUCCACUAUUUGUUUCGUAGUUAUGAAAGUGAAGUUUCAUUAGUUUUGCUGUUUGUUUGGUAAGAAGUGUAUGAUAUAAAACUAAAAUUUAUUUAUAAUUAAUAAAUAUUUUAAUAAAUAAAAAUAGUAUAAUUAUAUUUUUAUAUAAUUAAAAUUUAAUUUAAAAUAAUUAAAUUAUUUUUUUAUACAUAAAUUAUAGGAAAAACUUCAAAUACCACCCUUGUGGUUUCACACUUUCUCAUUUUAGUACCCUGUGGUUUAAAGUGUAUCAAUUUAGUGUCUUGUGGUUUCAUUUUUUUUUUUAUUAUCGAUUCCACUAAUUUUUUCCGUUAAAUCAGUGACAAAGUUAAAACUAAAAUAUACUAAAGUGAAUAUUUGAUAAACCUGGGGUAUCUGAAGUUUUUGUAUAUAAUUUAACGAAAAAUUAAUGGAGAAGCUGACGAAAAGAUAAAUAUGAAACCACGGGAAAUUAACUUGAUAUACUUUAAACCACAGGGUAUUAAAGUGAGAAAGUGCGAAACCACAGGGGUCGUAUUUGAAGUUUACCCUAAAUUAUAGUAAUACAACAAUAAAAUUAUAAAGUAAAAAAAUAUU
rnacentral:lncRNA from 1 species